UUUCAUGUGGAAAAAAAAUCUUAAAGUGAUCUUGUGAGCUACUUAAUUAAGAAUAACCUUAGUUCUGAUGCUAUAUGAGGGAGUUCUUGUUGAUUUGCGCAAUCCAAGUAGCUAGCUGCCUUUAAAAAAAACAUCUACAGUGGCAUGUCUUGAUUCUGUACAGAACAUCAAUUUUCAGCAAUUACUCAUCUUCUUUCACCAAUCCUAUAAGAAGUGGCAAGUAGUCUUGUGCAAAUCUAUCACCAUUUCCAAUCUUGUGCAGGCAAAAUGCAUACCAACAUAUACACUAACCAGGUAAAUAUGGGGAUGCUACACAAACUUGAAGGCCUAUAGAAUGCAAAUAUUUUACCAUUUCGGAGUGCACAUAUGUGUUGCAGAUGUUUUAAGAAGGAUGAGUUUCACAUCUGAAUAAUUUAGAUACAGAUUAUUAACAUGAUCGAGAAUGCACCUCACUGCAGCAAAAAUUGUCAACAUCUCUCUCAUCAGUCGAGUAGUUGCUUGCUGAAUUUCUUAUUAAGAAGCCAAAUGAUAACAAAUAAAAUACUUGCAACUAAAUUGGAGAUUUAAAAGGAAAGGAGAAUGAACAUACAAAGUAGUAUAGUUCAGAAACAAUUAAGUGCGUACUUCCUGUAUUAAGUUUGAUCCUAUGAUGAUCAAUAUCACAUUGUACACUGCACGAGGGAAUCAGCGAUUUGUGCAAACCACUUAAUAUUUCAGAGCAGUAGGUAUUCUAACCACAUCUCUAAUAUGUUAGAACCACAACUAAAUCUAGGGUACUGCUCGUAAUUAAGGAUAAUUUCUCUAGUUGCAUAGAGAGUGAAAGGAGCUCCUUUGGUUGCAGUAUGUGUGAAUCUUUCUUUGCUGAGAUCACGUGUAUCCAAAUAAUUUCCAACUCCCAAACAUUUGCUCGGUGACGGACUAAAAAAAUGUUUGCAGUUAUAAGACAUAAAUGUUUGUUACAUUAUCAUGUAAAAAGCUACAUUGCAAACCUAUCUUCUUCAUAUUCAGAGAGUAAAUAAACGAAACAUUGGAAUUGACGGCUAUCCAGAAACAUACUCCCUCUCUAAACAAAUAUAAGACCUAUUAGAUCACUAAGAAAAUGAAUACUUGAUCACUCCCAACUGAUAUUUCCUUUGAGCUUGAUGUUUGUGCGAUUCUGGUCCCAACUUGAAUUGUUGUUUUUGUGUUGAAAUAUGAAAGCUCUACCGAAAGCACAACAGACCAAGUAAAUGGUGGUAAUACUAUUACUCGUUCAAAAAAUCCUCCUAUAACUAAAAUAUUUAUCUUAGACCCAUCCAGCAAACUAUGUGUCACGUGUCUUUCAUAAAAAAGAAAUCGAAAGAAAUAUUGCAGAUCAAGUAAGAUAAUCUAUACAAUCUCACAUCAAGGAGAGCAUCCCUCCUUUCAUUUGGUCGGCCACUUUUAUUUCAGGUAUAACCGGGAAAUUGAUCGUAGUUGUCUGAUGCUCAUAAUUCAAUUCAUUUUUUAUCUGCAAGGAUGUAUAAAAUGCUCUUCAUUAGGCUAGUAGCAAAACUUACUAAUGUGUGUGCCCGUCUAUCGACUUGUAUGUAUCAGUAGAAAGACUACAUCAUGCCAUUAGGAAGAGGUACGUGCAUACAUGCAGGACUAUGACUUUGCAUAUCUAUGUGGCAUCACAGAAUGAAUUCAUUAUCCAUCUGCUAGACAUUUUGACAAGAGCCAAUGUAAUUAGGACGUGCUAGGCGAGCAAACCUGGAGCUUGAGUCCAUCAUCAGGGCGGCCCUGUUUAAGUUUCAGGCCAGUUAAUCCCCAAGCUCGUUUUAUAAUCUGCUGUCUCUUCCUUCCCUGUUGAAUCAACCGAUCCAUGGCCUUGGUCUGCUGUCUAGUCUGUUUUGGUACAGAUUCACAGAAGACACU
rnacentral:lncRNA from 1 species